ensembl:lncRNA novel transcript
AGAUGUCCAGGAUUUACCAGCUCAUGUAUAACAUGGAAUCAUACUAACAACAUUCACCAUGUUCUGUUGGCUCUUAAUGUUCCAGUUAAUACAGAAACUCUACCCCUGCCAAUUGCCCUCCCCAUGCAUUGACUUCUGCAAAUUCUCCAGUAGUGUCACAAGCAAGUCCUUAUCUUCCAGGCUUGGAAUAACACGUACACAACUAUAUAUGGUGGUCAUCUUUGAAGGACUGCAGUUAUGAAAAAACCAUCAGUUCAACUGUCCUGGACAGCAUUUCAUUUUAUUAUGUAACUGUAGAAAGCCUUGAUCAAGAUAAAAAUAGGGAUGACUUAUCAGAAACUGAAGAAUUUUCUUAGGAAAGCAAAGUUUACUGAAGGAUACCUUCAUUCCAGCCAUGAUGAGCAUCUGUCUUCUCAGGCAAUCAUGAUGAAGCUCCAGGGACAGUAUAACCCAUCUCUCCCACUCAUCCCUGAGCCUUGGUCCUGGACUGAAUGUGGUUAGAGGUUGUGGAAAUAAAAAAAAGAACCAAAAUAAGAACACUCUCCA